rnacentral:rRNA from 1 species
AAUCAACGCUGGCGGCAUGCCUAACACAUGCAAGUCGAACGCGAAAGUGGCUUCGGCCGCGAGUAGAGUGGCAAACGGGUGAGUAACGCGUGGGUGACCUGCCUUCGAGUGGGGGAUAACGUUUCGAAAGGAACGCUAAUACCGCAUAACAUCCUGCCCUUGAACGGGUGGAGAUCAAAGCCGGGGAUCGCAAGACCUGGCGCUUGGAGAGGGGCCCGCGUCCGAUUAGCUAGUUGGUGGGGUAACGGCUCACCAAGGCGACGAUCGGUAGCCGGCCUGAGAGGGCGGACGGCCACACUGGGACUGAGACACGGCCCAGACUCCUACGGGAGGCAGCAGUGGGGAAUUGUUCGCAAUGGGCGCAAGCCUGACGACGCAAUGCCGCGUGGAGGACGAAGAUCUUCGGGUCGUAAACUCCUGUCGAGCGGGAAGAACGGCCUGGGGCCUAAUACGCCCUGGGAGUGACGGUACCGCUAAAGGAAGCCCCGGCUAACUCCGUGCCAGCAGCCGCGGUAAUACGGGGGGGGCAAGCGUUGUUCGGAAUUACUGGGCGUAAAGGGCGCGUAGGCGGCCUUCUAAGUCGGACGUGAAAUCCCUCGGCUUAACCGGGGAACUGCGUCCGAUACUGGAGGGCUUGGAUCCGGGAGAGGGAUGCGGAAUUCCAGGUGUAGCGGUGAAAUGCGUAGAUAUCUGGAGGAACACCGGUGGCGAAGGCGGCAUCCUGGACCGGCAUCGACGCUGAGGCGCGAAAGCCAGGGGAGCAAACGGGAUUAGAUACCCCGGUAGUCCUGGCCCUAAACGAUGAAUGCUUGGUGUGGCGGGUAUCGAUCCCUGCCGUGCCGGAGCUAACGCGUUAAGCAUUCCGCCUGGGGAGUACGGUCGCAAGGCUGA